CUAACUUGGACUAACCCAUACGGUCUUCACUGGGCAUGCUCCAACUUUUCCUGUUACUAUAAAAGCCAGCAGAUAACCUUAAUUCAGCUUUGCUCCUCUUGAAGCUGAAAUGGCAAAAAUUUCACACAUCUCCAAACAAGACUGCUCUACUGAACAUCUACCAUACCUGAGACCGCCAGAGGUGUCUAAUCUUGCCUGAUUUGGACUGUAGCAGCAGGAUUUUAUUCUAACAAAGAUAAAGCAGUUCAGAUUUCAGAUGACUGACCAUCUGAUUUACUGAUCAGCAUACUCAAUAAUGCAGUUACCUGCUUGGUCUAUCUGGUGGCAGCAGUUCAGUGCUGAGAAUGCAAUAAGCUUGUGCUCUGCGUUUUAUUAUAAUAAGAUUUGUUAAAUGAAAGAAAUAAAACUUUUUUGUG